rnacentral:lncRNA from 1 species
CUUCUUUGGCUGUGGAUAGCAUUUAUCAUGAGUCCCUUGUGGUUGUCUUAGAGACUUGCUUUGCUGACAGUGGUUUAGUCCUUCCCAAUUGAUGAUCCUAUAAUAUUUCUGUUACUGUAUGAACUGUUUUCCUGGUUCUCCUCACCUCACUUUGCAUUAGUUCAUAUAAGUCUUUCCAGGAUUCUCCGUCAUUCCUUAUGGUGCAACAGUAUUCCCUUACGACCAUAUACCACAACUUGUUCAUCCAUUCCUGUGCCAAGUGAUGGACAACUCCUCAGUGUCUAACUCUUUGCCACUACAAAAAGAGCUGCCAAGAAUAUUUUGGAACAGAUCCAAUUCAUGAGCAAGUUAAGACAUCAUCCUCAUAGUGUCCUCUUCAGAAUGAAGGCUGAACCACAGCAGAGCCAGGAUUUGAACACAGAAGUGAUUGGGCCUGAAUCUUCGGGCUGAACCAAGAAGAGGCACACCACACGAGACUGGGCUGAACAAGCUUCUCCCUCCUCCAACACCAGGAAGGAAGUCAAACCCAGCAGGAAGGAAGUGCUAGUCACAAGACCCAACUGCCACUCCCAGUUGCCCCUUCCCCCACCAACUGUCAGUCUUGUUUCCUUUCUACAAUUGUCCCCUUUUUU